CAUUAGAUUACUGAAAGCCAGUGUUGGUCUCUUAAACCAUAAUAUAGUAAAUUAGCGAUUACUUCUAGUGA
rnacentral:tRNA from 1 species